rnacentral:rRNA from 1 species
GAUGAACGCUGGCGGCGUGCCUAAUACAUGCAAGUCGAGCGAAUGGAUUAAGAGCUUGCUCUUAUGAAGUUAGCGGCGGACGGGUGAGUAACACGUGGGUAACCUGCCCAUAAGACUGGGAUAACUCCGGGAAACCGGGGCUAUACCGGAUAACAUUUUGAACCGCAUGGUUCGAACUUGAAAGGCGGCUUCGGCUGUCACUUAUGGAUGGACCCGCGUCGCAUUAGCUAGUUGGUGAGGUAACGGCUCACCAAGGCAACGUUGCGUAGCCGACCUGAGAGGGUGAUCAGCCACACUGGGACUGAGACACGGCCCAGACUCCUACGGGAGGCAGCAGUAGGGAAUCUUCCGCAAUGGACGAAAGUCUGACGGAGCAACGCCGCGUGAGUGAUGAAGGCUUUCGGGUCGUAAAACUCUGUUGUUAGGGAAGAACAAGUGCUAGUUGAAUAAGCUGGCACCCUGACGGUACCUAACCAGAAAGCCACGGCUAACUACGUGCCAGCAGCCGCCGUAA